rnacentral:rRNA from 1 species
CCUACGGGGGGCAGCAGUGGGGAAUAUUGGGCAAUGGGCGCAAGUCUGACCCAGCAACGUCGCGUGAAGGAAGAAGGCUUUCGGGUUGUAAACUUCUUUUUUCAGGGACGUAGAAAGUGACGGUACCUGAGGAAUAAGUCACGGCUAACUACGGGCCAGCAGCCGCGGUAAUACGUAGGUGGCAAGCGUUAUCCGGAUUUAUUGGGUGUAAAGGGCGUGUAGGCGGGAGUGCAAGUCAGAUGUGAAAACUCAGGGCUCAACCCUGAGCCUGCAUUUGAAACUGUGGUUCUUGAGUGCUGGAGAGGAAGUCGGAAUUCCGUGUGUAGCGGUGAAAUGCGUAGAUAUACGGAGGAACACCAGUGGCGAAGGCGGAUUGCUGGAGAGUAACUGACGCUGAGGCGCGAAAGCGUGGGGAGCAAACAGGAUUAGAUACCCUUGUAGUC